UACGUAGGGGGCAAGCGUUGUCCGGAAUCAUUGGGCGUAAAGAGCGCGUAGGCGGCCCGGUAAGUCCGCUGUAAAAGUCCAGGGCUCAACCCUGGAAAGCCGGUGGAUACUGUGAGGCUAGAGUACGGAAGAGGCGAGUGGAAUUCCUGGUGUAGCGGUGGAAUGCGCAGAUAUCAGGAGGAACACCAAUAGCGAAGGCAGCUCGCUGGGACGUUACUGACACUGAGGCGCGAAAGCUAGGGGAGCAAACAGG
rnacentral:rRNA from 1 species